rnacentral:rRNA from 1 species
UACGGGGGGGGCAAGCGUUGUUCGGAAUUACUGGGCGUAAAGGGCGCGUAGGCGGCCUACUAAGUCAGACGUGAAAUCCCCCGGCUUAACCUGGGAACUGCGUCUGAUACUGGAAGGCUUGAGGAUGGGAGAGGGAUGUAGAAUUCCAGGUGUAGCGGUGAAAUGCGUAGAUAUCUGGAGGAAUACCUGCGGUGUAGACAGCUUUCUGGACCACUUCUGACGCUGAGACACGAAAGCGUGGGUAGCAAACAGG